rnacentral:rRNA from 1 species
AGUCUCGUUCGUUAUCGGAAUGAGAACAAUUCAAAUCCUUUAACGAGGAUCUAGCGGAGGGCAAGUCUGGUGCCAGCAGCCGCGGUAAUUCCAGCUCCGCAGGUGUAUAUCUAUGCUGCUGCGGUUAAAAAGCUCGUAGUUGGAUCUGCGUGCUCGGAACUGGUUGGCUCACUGAGCUCAUACUGGUCUCCGGCGCUUUAUUGGCUGGUUUUCCCUUGAUGCUCUUAACCGGGUGUCUUGGGUGGCUAGCACGUUUACUUUGAAAAAAUUAGAGUGCUCAAUACAGGCGCAAAGCCUUGAAUAGUGGUGCAUGGAAUAAUAGAAUAGGACCUCGGCUCUAUUUUGUUGGUUUUCGGAACGCGAGGUAAUGAUUAAGAGGGACAGACGGGGGCAUUCGUAUUGCGACGUUAGAGGUGAAAUUCUUGGAUCGUCGCAAGACGGACGACUGCGAAAGCAUUUGCCAAGAAUGUUUUCAUUAAUCAAGAACGAAAGUUAGAGGUUCGAAGGCGAUCAGAUACCGCCCUAGUUCUAACCGUAAACGAUGCCAACUAGCGAUUCGCAGGCGUUAAACAACGACCUUGCGGGCAGCUUCCCGGAAACGAAAGUGUUCGGGUUCCGGGGGAAGUAUGGUUGCAAAGCUGAAACUUAAAGGAAUUGACGGAAGGGCACCACCAGGAGUGGAGCCUGCGGCUUAAUUUGACCCAACACGGGAAAACUCACCCGGCCCGGACACCGUAAGGAUUGACAGAUUGAGAGCUCUUUCUUGAUUCGGUGGGUGGUGGUGCAUGGCCGUUCUUAGUUGGUGGAGCGAUUUGUCUGGUUUAUUCCGAUAACGAACGAGACUCUGGCCUACUAAAUAGUGGGCGGAUUCUUUCUGUCCGCAACACUUCUUAGAGGGACAAGCGGUGUUCAGCCGCACGAGAUUGAGCAAUAACAGGUCUGUGAUGCCCUUAGAUGUCCGGGGCUGCACGCGCGCUACACUGCAGGAAUCAGCGUGCUUUCUGACCUUGCCCGAAAGGGCUGGGUAACCCGAUGAAAAUCCUUCGUGAUUGGGAUAGGGACUUGCAAUUAUUUCCCUUGAACGAGGAAUUCCCAGUAAGUGUGGGUCAUAAGCUCGCGUUGAUUACGUCCCUGCCCUUUGUACACACCGCCCGUCGCUGCCCGGGACUGAGCCGUUUCGAGAAGAACAGGGACCGUCGUUGAAGGGCCCUAACGGGCUUUUCUCUGAUAGAGACUGUUUU